rnacentral:rRNA from 1 species
AUGAACGCUGGCGGCGUGCCUAAUACAUGCAAGUCGAGCGAACAGACGAGGAGCUUGCUCCUCUGACGUUAGCGGCGGACGGGUGAGUAACACGUUGAUAACCUACCUAUAAGACUGGGAUAACUUCGGGAAACCGGAGCUAAUACCGGAUAAUAUAUUUAACCGCAUGGUUCAAUAGUGAAAGACGGUUUUGCUGUCACUUAUAGAUGGAUCCGCGCCCCAUUAGCUAGUUGGUAAGGUAACGGCUUACCAAGGCAACUAUUCGUAGCCGACCUGGGAGGAUGGUCGGCCACACUAGAACUGAGACACCGUCCCGACUCAUAAGGGAGGCAGCAGUAGGGAAUAUUCCGCAAUGGGAGAAAGCCUGACGGAGCAACGCCGCGUGAGUGAUGAAGGUCUUCGGAUCGUAAAACUCUGUUAUUAGGGAAGAACAAAUGUGUAAGUAACUAUGCACGUCUUGACGGUACCUAAUCAGAAAGCCACGGCUAACUACGUG